AAAAAAAAAAAAUAAUGCAGAAGUGAAAACAAAUCCCCAAACCCAACUGCGCUGUCGGCGUUGCCACCUGGCCGCCCUAAAAAUAACCAAAGAAGCACACCUACAAACAAUGAGACAAAGAGAGAGGGAGCGAUAGAGCGCAAGAGAGAGAGAGAGAGAGAGAUACGCAGCGCAACAAUAUUAUAUGGCCACAAAUUUGGCUCGCUCGUUCAACUGGGGAUUUAACUUGCAUGCGGUUCUAGUGGGCAACAGCUGUUUGGCACUCGUAGCAGUAGACGUAGUACCUGGGGCCAGCCCGGGCAUUAUAUCCGCAGCCCAGUUAAUGAAAA
rnacentral:sRNA from 1 species